GAUCCCGUAGCUCAGUCGGUAGAGCAACUGACUUUUAAUCAGUAGGUCACGCGUUCGAAUCGCGUCGGGAUCACCA
rnacentral:tRNA from 1 species